GUGGGGAAUUUUGGACAAUGGGCGCAAGCCUGAUCCAGCAAUGCCGCGUGCAGGAAGAAGGCCUUCGGGUUGUAAACUGCUUUUGUACGGAACGAAACGGUCCUGGCUAAUAUCCGGGGCUAAUGACGGUACCGUAAGAAUAAGCACCGGCUAACUACGUGCCAGCAGCCGCGGUAAUACGUAGGGUGCGAGCGUUAAUCGGAAUUACUGGGCGUAAAGCGUGCGCAGGCGGUGCUGUAAGACAGGCGUGAAAUCCCCGGGGUCAACCUGGGAAUUGCGCUUGUGACUGCAGUGCUGGAGUGCGGCAGAGGGGGAUGGAAUUCCGCGUGUAGCAGUGAAAUGCGUAGAUAUGCGGAGGAACACCGAUGGCGAAGGCAAUCCCCUGGGCCUGCACUGACGCUCAUGCACGAAAGCGUGGGGAGCAAACAGGAUUAGAUACCCUUGUAGUCC
rnacentral:rRNA from 1 species